rnacentral:rRNA from 1 species
AUUGAACGCUGGCGGCAGGCCUAACACAUGCAAGUCGAGCGGAUGAAGGGAGCUUGCUCCUGGAUUCAGCGGCGGACGGGUGAGUAAUGCCUAGGAAUCUGCCUGGUAGUGGGGGAUAACGUCCGGAAACGGGCGCUAAUACCGCAUACGUCCUAAGGGAGAAAGUGGGGGAACUUCGGACCUCACGCUAUCAGAUGAGCCUAGGUCGGAUUAGCUAGUUGGUGGGGUAAAGGCCUACCAAGGCGACGAUCCGUAACUGGUCUGAGAGGAUGAUCAGUCACACUGGAACUGAGACACGGUCCAGACUCCUACGGGAGGCAGCAGUGGGGAAUAUUGGACAAUGGGCGAAAGCCUGAUCCAGCCAUGCCGCGUGUGUGAAGAAGGUCUUCGGAUUGUAAAGCACUUUAAGUUGGGAGGAAGGGCAGUAAGUUAAUACCUUGCUGUUUUGACGUUACCAACAGAAUAAGCACCGGCUAACUUCGUG